AUUAAUAAAUAAAAGGUAAAAUGAGAAUUAAGAAGAUUUUUAAUAUUGCAGAGAAUUAUAUUGAAUUUAAAAUUAAAGUUUUAAACUGAUGAAGGUGCAUAGUGGAUAAUCUAAAUAGCAGAGGGUUUAAAGGUGAGAAACUAAAUUGAUGAUGAGGCAUGGAUAUCAUUAUAUAGGCAGGAAAUGUUUAUGACCCUCUUCUUUUUAACCCCAUUUAGUUGAUGUUUAUUUGAACACACACAAUGAGGAAUGGUGCAAUUUUUUAAAUAUAACAUCAGGUUCUUUGAGUGAUGGGCACUGAUGCAAUCAAUGAUUUUCAUUUUGUAUUUCUUACCUUUUGAAUAUUAUGUAAUUUUGGAUUUUUUUUUUCUUUUAUAUACCAUAUGAUGGAAGACAACCGAUGAACAUGCUAGGUUGGUGCUCUUAGGUAAUUUCUCUCCUUUAAUUUUUCCACUCAUGAUGAUUUUAUUUGCUUGCUUCCUUUUGGCUAAGUGGGAAUUUACUUAUGGGCUAAUAUUUCCUUAUUGGGCUUGACCCAUUUCUCUUUAUCCUUAGUUGUUUUGUGUUUGGUGGCUGUUGGAAUUUCUGCUGGGUUCCAAAGCAAAAUUUGGACCUCUCUACUUGAAUAUUUUGCUGGGUUCCAAUGCAGAAUUCAGACCUCUCAACUUGAAUAUUUUGCUUGUUGGUUCCAUGUGUUAUGCGUUCCCCUCCCUUUGAUAUUUUCUAUGUUGCGUUGGCUCCUAUUAGCUGCUUGGGGGUGGCACAUUUAUGUGGCUGAUUGGGUUUAUUUUCCCCUAUAAAUGGGGGAUUUUUGCUGCUAGUGGGGGGGUUGGUUGUUGGCUGAAAUAUUUUAUAAACCUGAGGGUUUUUCUUUCUAGCUUGAGAGCUACCAUCUUCCUCGACCUAAUUCUUCUUCUAGUCUUCUAUCUAUUUCAUCCCUCCACGGUUUCCCUUCCAAUUGUAUCAUUCUUCUCCAAAUAUAGUGAAUGUGGUGUGUUGUUUGGCCGGUUUAUUGGUAUUUGCCAGAGGAGUGCCGACCGGUGUUGGAUCAAGAUUUUUGUUGCGAACCACUAGUUUGAAUUUUCCUUGGAGCACCAAUUCCUAAUUUUCAUAUUUGCAUGUGAGGUGACCUUUUUUUAAGGUUGUUCUGAGGGUAGUUUAUUUUAUAUAUUAGUUUGUUUUUGCUAAGUUUCCUAGUAGUUCUCUCACAUAUGUUUUUAUUAAGUUUUCUUUCUGGUGUUUCUAUCUUUUGUUUAUUGAAAGAGGUGUCAUGUUUAUCCUAGUGUUCUCCUAUUUGGUUCUGGAACUUAGGUUACACCAAUUUGGUAUCAGAGCGUCUAGGUUGUUGUGUGAGUCUCACUUUCUUUCAUAAAAAUAAAAAAGGUGAAAAUAAAUAAUCAAAAUAAUCAACAAGCAGAUUGGCAUUAAAUGAUUAUACAACAAAUGCCUAACCAACAGCAACAAAUGGAAACAAUGGUUGAUACUCUGGUUUCCCUAAAUAUAAACAAUACUCAUGCUCAAAACAAUGAAAGUGAAGAUAAAGCACCACGAAAUCAAAAUAGAAAUAAUAGGCAAUGGGAUCCUGGGAUUAAAAUCGACGUUUGUGAAUUUGAAGGCAAACUACAACCUGAACAAUUUCUUGAAUGGUUGAAAAAAUAGAUCAAAUUUUUAAAUAGAAAGAAAUUCCUGAAAACAAGAAAGUUAGGUUUGCUAGUUUAAAACUGAUGGGUCAUGCAUUACUUGGUGGAAAAUUUUUCAAAAUAAUAGAAUAAGGAGAUAGAAAGAGAAAAUUCAAACAUGAGUAAGAAUAAAAGAAAAAAUGCAAGGAAAAUUCAUGCCUGCUGACCAUUCCCAAACUUUGUUCCAAUAAUACAAUAACAUUCGCCAAGGAAAUCAAUCCAUAGAAGAAUACACUGAAAAUUUCUACAAACUUCAAUCCAUAAAUGACUUAAAUGAAACUAAAGAACGAAUCAUAACAUGAUACAUCAAUGGAUUAAAGUGGUCAAUUCAAGAUCAAUUAAAUCUACAUCAUAUUAUCAAACUCGAUGAGGCCUAUCAUAUUGCUUUGAAGAUUGAAAAACAAUAACAAAGAAACGAAACUAAAAGAAUUGAGUCAACCAAGCUUAGACAAUCUCUUGGAAGUAAAGUUCAAACUUCACAAACAACCAUUGGAUCAACUUCUUCAAAUCUAAAUCCACGAAUGAAACCUAAUGAAACUCUAGUAAUUGAAAAAGGAAAAGGAGUGAUAGGACCAAAACCAAUUGGACCCUAUUAUAAAUGUGGCUUGUAUGGUCAUCUGUCUGCAGCACGUAGAAAAAACAGGCCACCUAGAACCAACUAUAUUAAACAAGAGGAAAGCCAUGAAAAUUCAAAAAAAAAAAAAGAAUCUGAAGAAGACAACAAGGAAGAGAUGGAAUCAAUUGAUGUUGAAGGUGACCAAGGAGAUUAUUAUUUACCUAUCCGUAGGAUUUUGACCACCAAAUCAAAUGCUAGAGAAAAAUGGCUUAGAAAAAAUAUUUUUCGAACCACAUGUACGGUAGAAAAAAAAAUCGUGUAACCUAUUGAUUGAUAGUGGUAGUUUCAAAAAUUUUGUGUCACAACUCAUGUUGGAUAAACUGAAAUUAAAACCAAAACCACUUGUCAAGCCUUGCAAAAUAUCAUGGUUUAAGGAAGGAGGAGAGAUACCAAUCACUCAGCAGUGCCUUGUCAGGCUUUCAAUUGGAAAUUUUUACAAAGACCAAGUAUUAUGUGACAUUAUUACACUCGAGGUUUGUCAUGUUCUCCUGGGUCGACCUUGGCAAUAUGAUCACAAAACCAUUCAAAAUGGAGAGAAAAACACUUACACCUUGACCCAAGAAAAUAAGGAGUUCACUUUUUAUCCCCAAAAGAAAAUUUUUGACCCUCCCACAAAAAAUGUCCAAAUAACUUCAAAGUCACCCAAUCCUGAAUUGCUUCUCAAUACAAAUGAACUAAAAGACACAAAAGUGAUUUAUCUUGUGAUAGAAAAAGAGAAUGAAGUAAACAAAAAAAUUCCUAAAGAAAUUCAACAUUUAAUCAAUGAAUUUAAAGACAUAACUCUUGAAGAACUACCUGAUUCAUUGCCUCCUCUAAGAGAUAUCCAAUACCAUAUUAAUCUUGUAACCGUGGCAAAUUUACCACACCUGCCUCACUAUCGUAUGAGUCUUACUGAACAUAAAGAACUCUGCAAACAAGUAACUAAACUCUUAACUAAAAGAUUAAUCAGAGAAAGCAUGAGUCCAUGUGUUGUCCAAGCCCUGCUUACCCCAAAAAAAGAUGGAACUUGGAGGAUGUGUCUUGACAGCCGAGCUAUAAACAAUAUAAACAUUAAGUAUAGGUUUCUUAUCCUAAGAUUGACGAUAUGCUAGACAUGCUUAGUGGUGCCAAAAUUUUCUCCAAGAUUGACUUGAGAAGUGGAUAUCAUCAAAUCCGAAUACGACCUGGUGAUGAGUGGAAAACAGCUUCUAAAACUAAGGACUCUACGAAUUGAUAGUUAUACCUUUUGGACUAUCAAAUGCUCUUAGCACAUUUAUGCGAACCAUGAAUCAUAUCCUACAUCCCUUUAUUGAAAAAUUUGUUGUGUUUUAUUUUGAUAACAUACUGAUUUAUAGCACUUGUCUCAAUGACCAUCUUGAACAUGUGAGACAUGUCCUUCAAACUCUAAGAGAACAAUGCUUAUACAUCAACUUAAAAAAGUGAUCUUUCAUGACUCCUAGUUUGACUUUCCUUGGAUACAUUGUCUCUGAUGAUGGUAUUAAAGUGGAACACAUUAAAAUUGAAGCAAUCCAGAGCUAGCCAACUCCAAAAAAAAUUAGUGAUGUGAGGGGAUUUCAUGGAUUAGCCCCUUUUUACUGAAGAUUCAGGAAAAUUUUCAGUACUUUGAUUUCACCCAUCACUAACUGUCUUAAAAAGGGAACCUUAGGUAAACCCCUGACGCUGAAAAAGCAUUUCAUCAAAUUAAGACAAAAAUGAGCCAAGCACAUAUUAUUAGAUUACUUGAUAAGAUGUUUGAAGUAGACUGUGAUGCUUCCCAUGUUGGCAUAGAAGUUGUCUUUAGUCAAGAGGGUCGACCUGUUGCUUUCUUUAGCAAAAAACUUAAUGAUACUCGAUCCCGAUAUUCAACAUAUGAUGUUGAGUUCUAUGAGAUUGUUUAAGCUCUAAAAUUCUAGAGACAUUAUCUUAUUCAAAGAGAAUUUGUGCCAAGUUCUGAUCAUAAAGCACUACGAUACUUAGGAUCUCAGAAAAUUUUGAAUUGAAGACAUGCUAAGUGUUCAUUUUUUUACAAGAAUAUAUGUUUCAUCUUAAACACAAAGUUAGAACUUUGAAUAGAGUCGUUGAUUCCUUAAGCAGAAGAGCCCAUUUGCUAGUAACUAUCCACCCAUUUGUGAUUUCUCUUGAUUACUUAAAAGAUAGCUAUGUCACUUACUCAAAUUUUAAAAUUAUUUAAGAAUCAUGUUGUACUUCUAGAGUUGACCCUUCUACUCAAUUUACCAUCCAACAAAAAUUUUUAUUUAAGGGGACUAAGCUUUGUAUUACCCAAAGCUCUUUACGUGACAAACUCAUCCAAGAACUUCAUGGUGGAGGAUUACGAGGGCAUUUUGGUCAAGGAAAAACUACAGCUUUAGUUGAAGAAUGAUAUUUCUGACCCCACAUGCAAAAACAUAUAACAAAAAUUUUAAAAUAAUGUAAAAUAUGUCAAGAAUUCAAAUGAACCACUCAAAACACUAGUUUAUACACUCCACUCCCAAUUCCAAACAAACAGUGGGAAGAUAUCAUUAUGGAUUUUAUAUUAGGAUUACCUGUCACUGCCCAAAAGUUUGAUUAUGUAUUUGUUGUUGUUGAUCGAUUUAACAAAAUGGCACAUUUCAUCGCUUGCAAGAAAACCUCUGAUGCUUCUCAUGUCGCUGAUUUAUUUUUUAAAGAAAUUAUGAGACUACAUGGCAUACCCAUAACUUUCACCUCUGAUAAGGAUAAUAGGUUCUUAAGCCAUUUUUGGAGAAUGGAUUUUACUCCAAGCCGAAUUUCUUAUAACAAUUGCAUCAACUGAUCUACUGGAAAAACCCCUUUUGAAAUUAUUUAUGGCCAACUUAUUCCCCACAUUUUAGACCGAACUUCAUUACCCAUGCCUAGUAAAAUCAGUGUUGAAGCUACAAAAAUUGUUGAUCAUAUUCAAUCGAUCCAAUGUCAAGUCCUAGAAAAACUACACAAGGAAAAUGCUAAAUACAAAACUACGGCUGACAAACAAUGAAGAGAGUGUUAUUUUCAAGACGGAGAUUUAGUUAUGGCUUAUUUUUGACGACAGCGCUUUCCCAUUGGUACUUUUGGAAAGCUAAGUUGAAAGAAAUUUGGCCCUUUCUGAAUACUUUGAAUAUUGGGAACAAAAGCUUAUCUGUUGUAUCUUUCACUUUUUGUUGGAACUUUACUUGUGUUUAAUGUUGUUGACCUUACUACAUAUGAAGGAGAAUUAACUGAUUCAGUGGAUCUAGAGACCUUACCCCUUACCUAUCCAGCUCAGAUCAAAGAUGAUCAUAUUGAAGAUGUUUUGGACAUCAGAACUACCCAGACAAGGCGUGGAAUGCACAGGCGGUUCCUGGUUAAAUGGUGUGGACGUCCUUUGACUGUCUAACGACCCAAAUUUCUAGGUAAUUAAAUAAGUUUAAUUAAAAUAAAUUAGUCUUUAUUAAUAAUUAUAUAUCUUGUUAAACAAAAUAUUAAAUAAAAAGUGUGUUCUGAAUAGAUGCUUCCCUUGGGCAAUUGUGAGAGCAGUUAGAGUAGUGGGGUCCACUCAUUGAUCCUUAUCAGCAUGCGGAAUGCAACUAAAAAUUCUCCUGUAGAAGCAUUCGGUGAAGCCAUUCAUCACAGGGAGAGUUCGGAACUUCGCUCUCCCGGGACUGUAGCAAAUGCGGCUGAUUUGUGAAGGAAAUUCACAGAAUCCACUGUAGCUGGCGUCGGCAUAGUGGUAUUUGGCACGGGGCUUUUGUGAUUGGCAGCCAGGGUUCACGAAUUUUCUAUUCCUUUGUUCGGCACAAUGAAGGGAGCACUAUAGCAGUUUGGAAAUCAGCAGAAAAUAGACAAUAUUAUUGAGGAAAUUCCAUGAGAAGGAUUUGCUUCCAUGGCAAUAGAGAUUUGGCAAUACAGUUGAUUCAAGAGUGUGAAUGAAUUGAGGACAUAUUGAAGGAUUAAAGAAGGAGAAUUAUUCGUAUAUUUAUGCAAAAAGAAAGUUUUGAGUUUGUGUAUCAAAGGAAAGGGCUUCGUGGUGUAGGUUUUGAAGAGACCAACCGUGAGAAAGGAAAAGGAAAAGCAGAGAAAGUUUGAUAUGCAAGAAUUAAAUUUUAUGUCAAUGUUUAUUUAAAUUUUGAAAUAUACUCUUGAGGUUAGUAAACAUUUUUAAAGUUAUAUUACUUUGAAUUGUUUUGAAUUUCCUUAGUGGCUCUGUACUAAGUCUUUGAUGUGAUGAAAUUUGGGAAUUAUUCGAUUCUUCCUUUAAAUGAUGUUUAUAGGAUCU